GGCUACAGAACUUUUUCUGUUAACUUAGUAUUCAUAAGAUGACAUAUUUUCUAAAUUAUUGCUUAGUAAAUACCGUAACAAGCUGCAAGUAGUUUAUUGGAAUGUUAAGGUUCAAAUGCCAUAAAGUUUUACAUUUCAUAUUCAGAAUUGAUAUUUGGGUGGCUUCAGAACAGAGUCAAAUUUACAAAAUGUCUUUUGGAAUAGGACUCCAGUUCUAUUUUGCUGGGUUUUGGAAACAGGGCCAUGAUUAAGAGGGGCAGCCAGGGGCAUUUGUAUCGUACCACUAGAGGUGAAAUUCUUGGACCCGCACAAGACAGCCUAGAGCAAAAACAUUUGCCAAGAAUGUUUUAAUUAAUCAAGAAUGAAAGUCAGAGGUUUGAAGUCAAUCAGGUACCACCGUGGUUCCCACUAUAAACUAUUCCAAUAAGCAAGAAGCUUUGUGGGCACGUCUCUGUGGCGCAAUGGGUUAGCGCGUUCGGCUGUUAACCGAAAGGUUGGUGGUUCGAAUCC
rnacentral:ncRNA from 1 species